GACGAACGCUGGCGGCGUGCCUAAUACAUGCAAGUAGAACGCUGAAGAGAGGAGCUUGCUCUUCUUGGAUGAGUUGCGAACGGGUGAGUAACGCGUAGGUAACCUGCCUGGUAGCGGGGGAUAACUAUUGGAAACGAUAGCUAAUACCGCAUGAUAUUAAUUGUCGCAUGAUAAUUAAUUGAAAGAUGCAAUUGCAUCACUACCAGAUGGACCUGCGUUGUAUUAGCUAGUUGGUGAGGUAACGGCUCACCAAGGCGACGAUACAUAGCCGACCUGAGAGGGUGAUCGGCCACACUGGGACUGAGACACGGCCCAGACUCCUAUGGGAGGCAGCAGUAGGGAAUCUUCGGCAAUGGGGGGAACCCUGACCGAGCAACGCCGCGUGAGUGAAGAAGGUUUUCGGAUCGUAAAGCUCUGUUGUAAGAGAAGAACGGGUGUGAGAGUGGAAAGUUCACACUGUGACGUAUCUACCCAGAAAGGACG
rnacentral:rRNA from 1 species